CCCUCAUUUUCCCCCGUUUCCCGCCCACCAGGGGGCGCUGCUGGGCACGCAUGUGCUGCUGCUGACGUCAUCAGCAGCGGGGGCGGUGCUGGCUGUGAUUGGCUGCGUGGCGGCCAGCAGGGCACGCCCCAAGGCGGGGCCAAUGCCCGUGGUGAUCUAUCAGACAGCGAUGCCUGCCCCAGGGGUGGGGCCAGCCGAGGCCACGCCCCCUGCUCAUCAAUAAAGACCAAUCACAGCUGAGUGUG